AUACAGAGGGGGCAAGCGUUAUUCGGAAUUAUUGGGCGUAAAGGGCGCGUAGGCGGUUUUUUAAGUCAGAUGUGUAAUCCCCGAGCUCAACUUGGGAACUGCAUCUGAGACUGGAAGGCUAGAGUACUGGAGAGGGUGGUAGAAUUCCACGUGUAGCGGUGAAAUGCGUAGAGAUGUGGAGGAAUACCAGUGGCGAAGACGGCCACCUGGACAGUAACUGACGCUGAGGCGCGAAAGUGUGGGUAGC
rnacentral:rRNA from 1 species